AACAAAAACAUGGCCUUUUGAGUGGAAUUUAAGGUCGGGCCUGCCCACUGACGUAGUUGAAGGGCCGCGGUAUUUUGACCGUGCAAAGGUAGCAUAAUCAUUAGUCUUUUAAUUGAGGGCUGGAAUGAAUGGUUUGACGAAAUAUUAACUGUCUCUAUAUAAUAAAUGGAAUUUAACUUUUGAGUCAAAAGGCUUAAAUGAAUAUAAAAGACGAGAAGACCCUAUAGAUCUUUAUAUAGUUAAGUAAUUGUUUUAUUUAGUUGUUUUGUAUUCAAUUAUUAUGCUGUAUUUUGUUGGGGUGACAUAAAGAUAAAAAUAACUCUUUAUAAUAGGAACAUUGAUUUAUGAGUGAUUGAUCCGUUAUUAACGAUUAUAAGAUAAAGUUACCUUAGGGAUAACAGCGUAAUUUUUUUUGAGAGUUCUUAUCGACAAGAAAGAUUGCGACCUCGAUGUUGGAUUAAGGAAUAUGAUUAGGUGUAGCAGUUUAAUUAAUAAGUCUGUUCGACUUUUAAAUCCUUACGUCAUCUGAGUUCAG
rnacentral:rRNA from 1 species